AGAGUGAACGCUGGCGGCAGGCCUAAUACAUGCAAGUCGAACGGCAGCACGGCAGAGCUUGCUCUGUGGGUGGCGAGUGGCGGACGGGUGAGGAAUACAUGGGAAUCUGCCCAGUCGUGGGGGAUAAACGUAGGGAAACUUACGCUAAUACCGCAUGCGCCCUUCGGGGGAAAGCCGGGGACCUUCGGGCCUGGCGCGAUUGGAUGAGCCCAUGUCGGAUUAGCUAGUUGGCGGGGUAACGGCCCACCAAGGCGACGAUCCGUAGCUGGUCUGAGAGGAUGAUCAGCCACAC
rnacentral:rRNA from 1 species